UUGGAGUAUUCUUUUGCAUGACGCAUCUGA
rnacentral:piRNA from 1 species